rnacentral:rRNA from 1 species
AAUAGAACCCAGGUAGUCCAUGCCGUAAACGAUGGAUGCUAGCUAUUUGGCGGUUUCGACCCCGUCAGAAGCGAAGCUAACGCGUUAAGCAUCCCGCCUGAGUAGUACGAGCGCAAGCUUAAAACUCAAAGGAAUUGACGGGGACCCGCACAAGCGGUGGAGCGUGUGGUUUAAUUCGAUGAUAAGCGAAGAACCUUACCAAGGUUUGACAUCCUCAGAAGGCUUCCGAAAGGAAACUGUGCCCUCGGGAACUGAGUGACAGGUGAUGCAUGGCCGUCGUCAGCUCGUGUCGUGAGAUGUUGGGUUAAGUCCCGCAACGAGCGCAACCCUUAUGUUUAGUUGGAUUUUUCUAAACAGACUGCCCUGGUAACAGGGAGGAAGGAGGGAUGAUGUCAGGUCAGUAUUUCCCUUACACCUUGGGCUACACACGCGCUACAAUGGCCGGUACAAUGGGCAGCCAACCCGCGAGGGGGAGCAAAUCCCGAUCAAAGCCGGUCUCAAUUCGGAUUGCAGGCUGAAACUCGCCUGCAUGAAGCCGG